GGUCAAGGAUGGACUCGCGGCCUAUCAGCUAGUUGGUGAGGUAAUGGCUCACCAAGGCGACGACGGGUAGCCGGCCUGAGAGGGUGACCGGCCACACUGGGACUGAGACACGGCCCAGACUCCUACGGGAGGCAGCAGUGGGGAAUAUUGCACAAUGGGCGAAAGCCUGAUGCAGCAACGCCGCGUGAGGGAUGACGGCCUUCGGGUUGUAAACCUCUUUUAGUAGGGAAGAAGCGAAAGUGACGGUACCUGCAGAAAAAGCACCGGCUAACUACGUGCCAGCAGCCGCGGUAAUACGUAGGGUGCAAGCGUUGUCCGGAAUUAUUGGGCGUAAAGAGCUCGUAGGCGGUUUGUCGCGUCUGCUGUGAAAUCUGGGGGCUCAACCCCCAGCCUGCAGUGGGUACGGGCAGACUAGAGUGCGGUAGGGGAGAUUGGAAUUCCUGGUGUAGCGGUGGAAUGCGCAGAUAUCAGGAGGAACACCGAUGGCGAAGGCAGAUCUCUGGGCCGUAACUGACGCUGAGGAGCGAAAGCGUGGGGAGCGAACAGGAUUAGAUACCCUGGUAGUCCACGCCGUAAACGUUGGGAACUAGGUGUGGGGGCCAUUCCACGAUCUCCGUGUCGCAGCUAACGC
rnacentral:rRNA from 1 species